CAGGCGAUGAAGGACGCGGUAGCCUGCGAAAAGCGGAGGGGAGCUGGCAAACGAGCUUUGAUCCUCCGAUAUCCGAAUGGGGAAACCCGGCCCGUAUGGGUCAUCCGUAACUGAAUACAUAGGUUACGUGAAGCGAACGCGGUGAACUGAAACAUCUAAGUAACCGCAGGAAAAGAAAUCAACCGAGAUUCCCAGAGUAGUGGCGAGCGAAAUGGGACCAGCCUGUACUCUUUAUCUUCAUUGUUAGUCGAAGGCUCUGGAAAGUGCCGCCAUAGCAGGUGAUAGCCCUGUAGACGAAAACAGCGAGGAAGAACUAGGUGUACGGAAAGUAGGGCGGGACACGUGAAAUCCUGUCUGAAGAUGGGGGGACCAUCCUCCAAGGCUAAAUACUCGUGAUCGACCGAUAGUGAACCAGUACCGUGAGGGAAAGGCGAAAAGAACCCCGGGAGGGGAGUGAAACAGAUCCUGAAACCGCAUGCAUACAAACAGUCGGAGCCUCUGCGAAGGGGUGACGGCGUACCUUUUGUAUAAUGGGUCAGCGACUUACAUUCAGUGGCAAGCUUAACCGAUUAGGGCAGGCGUAGCGAAAGCGAGUCCGAACAGGGCGAUUCAGUCGCUGGGUGUAGACCCGAAACCAGGUGAUCUAUCCAUGGCCAGGAUGAAGGUGCGGUAACACGUACUGGAGGUCCGAACCCACUAACGUUGAAAAGUUAGGGGAUGAGCUGUGGAUAGGGGUGAAAGGCUAAACAAACCUGGAAAUAGCUGGUUCUCUCCGAAAACUAUUUAGGUAGUGCCUCGUGUAUCACCUUCGGGGGUAGAGCACUGUCAUGGUUGUGGGGUCCAUUGCGGAUUACUACGCCAUAGCAAACUCCGAAUACCGAAGAGUGCAAUCACGGGAGACAGACAUCGGGUGCUAACGUCCGGUGUCAAGAGGGAAACAACCCAGACCGCCAGCUAAGGUCCCCAAAUAUUGCUAAGUGGGAAACGAAGUGGGAAGGCUAAAACAGUCAGGAGGUUGGCUUAGAAGCAGCCAUCCUUUAAAGAAAGCGUAAUAGCUCACUGAUCGAGUCGUCCUGCGCGGAAGAUGUAACGGGGCUAAGCAAUAUACCGAAGCUGCGGAUGCACAUUUAUGUGCAUGGUAGGAGAGCGUUCCGUAAGCCUGCGAAGGUGCAUUGAAAAGUGUGCUGGAGGUAUCGGAAGUGCGAAUGCUGACAUGAGUAGCGAUAAAGGGGGUGAAAGGCCCCCUCGCCGUAAGCCCAAGGUUUCCUACGCAACGUUCAUCGGCGUAGGGUGAGUCGGCCCCUAAGGCGAGGCAGAAAUGCGUAGCUGAUGGGAAGCAGGUUAAUAUUCCUGCACCAUUGUUAAAUGCGAUGGGGGGACGGAUCGCGGAAGGUUGUCCGGGUGUUGGAAGUCCCGGUCCUUGCAUUGGAGAAGGCGCUCAGGCAAAUCCGGGCGCGGAAUUCAAGGGUGCGAGGCCAUUCACUUAGGUGAAGAAGCAAUCGGAAGUGGUUCCAAGAAAAGCCUCUAAGCUUCAGUUUAACAGGACCGUACCGCAAACCGACACAGGUGGGCGAGAUGAGUAUUCUAAGGCGCUUGAGAGAACUCGGGAGAAGGAACUCGGCAAAUUGGUACCGUAACUUCGGGAUAAGGUACGCCCCUGUAGCUUGAUGCCCCUGCGGGCAGAGGGUGAAGGGGUUGCAAUAAACUGGUGGCUGCGACUGUUUAAUAAAAACACAGCACUCUGCAAACACGAAAGUGGACGUAUAGGGUGUGACGCCUGCCCGGUGCCGGAAGAUUAAAUGAUGGGGUGCAAGCUCUUGAUUGAAGUCCCGGUAAACGGCGGCCGUAACUAUAACGGUCCUAAGGUAGCGAAAUUCCUUGUCGGGUAAGUUCCGACCUGCACGAAUGGCGUAACGAUGGCCACACUGUCUCCUCCCGAGACUCAGCGAAGUUGAAGUGUUUGUGAUGAUGCAAUCUCCCCGCGGCUAGACGGAAAGACCCCAUGAACCUUUACUGUAGCUUUGCAUUGGACUUUGAACCGAUCUGUGUAGGAUAGGUGGGAGGCUAUGAAGCGUGGACGCCAGUCUGCGUGGAGCCGUCCUUGAAAUACCACCCUGGUUUGUUUGAGGUUCUAACCUUGGUCCGUAAUCCGGAUCGGGGACAGUGCAUGGUAGGCAGUUUGACUGGGGCGGUCUCCUCCCAAAGUGUAACGGAGGAGUACGAAGGUACGCUAGGUACGGUCGGAAAUCGUGCUGAUAGUGCAAUGGCAUAAGCGUGCUUAACUGCGAGACCGACAAGUCGAGCAGGUGCGAAAGCAGGUCAUAGUGAUCCGGUGGUUCUGUAUGGAAGGGCCAUCGCUCAACGGAUAAAAGGUACUCUGGGGAUAACAGGCUGAUACCGCCCAAGAGUUCAUAUCGACGGCGGUGUUUGGCACCUCGAUGUCGGCUCAUCUCAUCCUGGGGCUGUAGCCGGUCCCAAGGGUAUGGCUGUUCGCCAUUUAAAGAGGUACGUGAGCUGGGUUUAAAACGUCGUGAGACAGUUUGGUCCCUAUCUGCCGUGGGCGCUGGAUAUUUGAAGGGGGCUGCUCCUAGUACGAGAGGACCGGAGUGGACGAACCUCUGGUGUACCGGUUGUCACGCCAGUGGCAUCGCCGGGUAGCUAUGUUCGGAAGAGAUAACCGCUGAAAGCAUCUAAGCGGGAAACUCGCCUUAAGAUGAGAUAUCCCCGGGGCUUCGAGCCCCUUGAAGGGUCGUUCAAGACCAGGACGUUGAUAGGUCAGGUGUGGAAGCGCAGUAAUGCGUUAAGCUAACUGAUACUAAUUGCCCGUAAGGCUUGAUCCU
rnacentral:rRNA from 1 species